AUACGUAUGGUGCAAGCGUUAUCCGGGAUUUACUGGGUGUAAAGGGAGCGUAGACGGCUGUGUAAGUCUGAAGUGAAAGCCCGCGGCUCAACUGCGGGACUGCUUUGGAAACUAUGCAGCUAGAGUGUCGGAGAGGUAAGUGGAAUUCCCAGUGUAGCGGUGAAAUGCGUAGAUAUUGGGAGGAACACCAGUGGCGAAGGCGGCUUACUGGACGAUGACUGACGUUGAGGCUCGAAAGCGUGGGGAGC
rnacentral:rRNA from 1 species